GCGUUGGUUUAGCUCAGUGGUUACUUCUGUGAUCCCUGAAAAAUCAACCUUUCAUGGUCACCUCGGUGCCAGAGAUCGAACCACGGGCGCUGUCCAACGUUUUA
rnacentral:vault_RNA from 8 species